UGUGUUUGUUCCUGUGGAAACAAAUGUCAUGCACAGACUCGUUUAAAGUACUACCUGUCUUCUUAUUUUUUUGUUGUUGGUGCCUCUUUUUCGAGCAAGCGGAUGAGGUUGGUUGCGCUCCGUAGUUUCACCUGCGGCCCGCCCUCAGCAGUGACGUCACUGAGUCAAAUCUCCAGUCAGAACAACAUUAAUGUUGUUGCAUUGCUCUGUUACUACACUUGUCAUGUUAUUCCAGAUUUGACCAUUCCUUUCCUUUAGUGACUCAUUUCAAUUUUCACAACCUAAUCUUCCCCGCCCAAUUAAUCAACUGCUUAAGUACGUUGCCCCUAAUCAGCCCAGUAUAGGUACAUUUCCAUAAAACAUCCUCUAGAAUCUAGAUUAUUUUGUUCUAUAUACGCUGUGGCAUUCCAUUCUUGAUUUAUUGAUUUAGCCUGUCUGAACCUGCCUGCCUAAAUUCCUGCCACCGUCUCAGAUUGCUGCUUCUUUCUUUCAUAUGUGGUGCCUUUGGUUUAAGAUUACGAGGUCUCUGCAGUAUCUGAGGUUGACCAUAAGAGGGCAGCAUUGCAUCAGUGUACAACAAGCCCAGAAGAGUAAUAUCAGUUUUUGAUGUGGAAGCAUCUUAGAUACAAAGGAGUUCAAGACAAGACCUACAAUGGGUAGACACAAUAACAUGAACACUUGUCAGUAAAAUAGUAAAUAAUUUAAUGGCAAAUCAAAAAUACAAUAUUUGCAAUUCUCAUAAUGUUAAGGCUGAUUUUAUUGAAUCAUUUCAAAUUUAAAUGAGAUACAAAAUCUUCUAAAUUGUCAUCUUUUAUGUAUAUAUAUGUAUAUCUAACAGUGGUGGCACACAUGUCUGCGUGUACAAUAACAUGUCCGUUUUUUACCAUAAUAAAAGUAAUUAUAUUUGUAAUUAUAAUUAUUAUAAUAUAUGUAAUUAUAUUGUAUAUUAGCAAUUAACAUUCCUUUUUUAAUAUUUAUGUAUGUAUACAUGUGCAACACGAUGAUAUGUACAAAGACAUCGAUAGUUAUUCAUGGUUCUGUAUAUGUAUUACUCAAUUGCUUUAUUCUUUUUUUGAGCAUCUACUUUUAUAAAUUAAGGAUUAUAAAAUGUUCCUCAAGCACGAACAACCAGCCAGCACG
ensembl:lncRNA